AUUGAACGCUGGCGGCAGGCCUAACACAUGCAAGUCGAGCGGAUGAGUGGAGCUUGCUCCAUGAUUCAGCGGCGGACGGGUGAGUAAUGCCUAGGAAUCUGCCUGGUAGUGGGGGACAACGUUUCGAAAGGAACGCUAAUACCGCAUACGUCCUACGGGAGAAAGCAGGGGGACCUUCGGGCCUUGCGCUAUCAGAUGAGCCUAGGUCGGAUUAGCUAGUAGGUGAGGUAAUGGCUCACCUAGGCGACGAUCCGUAACUGGUCUGAGAGGAUGAUCAGUCACACUGGAACUGAGACACGGUCCAGACUCCUACGGGAGGCAGCAGUGGGGAAUAUUGGACCAAUGGGCGAAAGCCUGAUCCAGCCAUGCCGCGUGUGUGAUGAAGGCC
rnacentral:rRNA from 1 species